GGAGGCAUAGCUCAGCUGGUUAGAGCGCCACGUUGACAUCGUGGAGGUCAUUGGUUCGAUCCCAACUGUCUCCACCA
rnacentral:tRNA from 1 species